GUUGUAGAAGGAAAUGUGGUUGCUGGCGUUGCGACUGGAUGUGGAGGUUUAAUCUUCAUUCUCAUCGUUGUGUUUGUGUGUUACAGGAAGCGCAAACACAGGCCUGAUGACAUCAGACAAAAGCAGGAUAUUAUAUAUUCCACUGUAACAGCGAGAGUCUCAGGGUCUGAAUCCAGAGAUCCUGAAGAGAUCCAGUACGCAACUGUCCGGCAUCUAAGAUUCAAA